rnacentral:tRNA from 1 species
GCCUCGCUGGCUCAGUCGGUAGAGCAUGUGACUGUUGAUCUAGAGGUUGUGAGUCUGAGACCCAUGUUAGGCA